rfam:Oryza punctata chromosome 11, whole genome shotgun sequence.
AAAGAGUGCAGUUUUACACUAUUCCUAUCCACCGUUUGACCGUUUGUCUUAUUUAAAAAAUUUUUAUGAUUAGUAUUUUUAUUAUUCUUAGAUAAUAAAACAUGAACAUUACUUUAUGUGUGACUAUUUUUUUUAUAAAUUUUUCAAAUAAAACCGAUGGUCAAACAUUGGAUAUAGGCAUCCACGGCUGCACUUAAA